GUCUGAGGAGACAUCUGUACCGGACGGCAUCGUGCAGUUCAUUAAGCUCUGCACUGUGAGCUACGGCAAGGUGAAGCUGGUGCUGAAACACAACCGGUACUUUGUGGAGAGUGCGUUCCCAGAGGUGAUCCAGCGUCUUCUUCAGGACAGUGUGAUCAGAGAUUGUCGUCUCCGAACCGCAGAGGGGACAGACACCGAGCUCAUCACUGAGGUCGUACACAGCAAGUCAGCAAC